AGAACUGGAGGAAUUUGGUUGAAUUUGUCAAGAGCAUGUCCGAAGGUGGUAGAAGCACAAGACUUCCAGACAGUGACAGGGUCGGGACUGACCUGUAUGUGGGAUUCAUCAAGCAAAACAAUGUGAGGAAGGAAAGUGAAGCCGCUCUUGUAUAAUUGCACAUAUGUAUAUGUAUAGGUGCACAAAUUAAGAGAAGUCGAAGCCAUACAGAACAAAUAUUACAAGAAUAUACAGAUCCGAGUAGAUCAAGCAUAAGUCAGACACUGAAAAUGGUUACAAGACUAUCUUGGUAGAAGAUGGAAAGAGUUAUGAGCGCUCCAAGCAAUACAUAACUCUUACUAAAGGGUUACAGCUAAAGGCAACCUCUAAGUGUCCAAUGAGGAGUGGAGAAGUUCAAUGGCUAACCAAUUUAUAUCUUGUUCCAGGAACUCAUGGCUAUUGCUUCCCUGCAUAAAGCUUUUAUAUUUCUUCUUUCUUGAUACCUGUAGACAUUUGUUAAAUGUGUACUGUUAUUUUAAUAUUAUCUGAAUAAUGGUGAUCAUAGUGCUCUUGGUUAGAUGAUAUAUGUGUCAGAUGUCAUAUACUAUACAUACAGGGUUGCAGUGAAACUGCACUAUCAAAACACCCCACAAGAAGUGGCAGCAUAAGAAAACAAAGCUCAUACCGGGCAAUGGGAAUUAUGUGUCCCUCCUCUUACAUACUUUUUGUAUU
rnacentral:lncRNA from 1 species